rnacentral:rRNA from 1 species
GACGAACGCUGGCGGCGUGCUUAACACAUGCAAGUCGAACGGAAAGGCCCUGCUUUUGUGGGGUGCUCGAGUGGCGAACGGGUGAGUAACACGUGAGUAACCUGCCCUUGACUUUGGGAUAACUUCAGGAAACUGGGGCUAAUACCGGAUAGGAGCUCCUGCUGCAUGGUGGGGGUUGGAAAGUUUCGGCGGUUGGGGAUGGACUCGCGGCUUAUCAGCUUGUUGGUGGGGUAGUGGCUUACCAAGGCUUUGACGGGUAGCCGGCCUGAGAGGGUGACCGGACACAUUGGGACUGAGAUACGGCCCAGAAUGCUACGGGAGGCAGCAGGGGGGAAUAUUGCACAAUGGGCGGAAGCCUGAUGCAGCAACGCCGCGUGCGGGAUGAAGGCCUUCGGGUUGUAAACCGCUUUCGCCUGUGACGAAGCGUGAGUGACGGUAAUGGGUAAAGAAGCACCGGCUAACUACGUG